GGUAUAGUAACUUAAGUUGUGAAUUUUAGGUGAUAGAAUUUUGUUAAAGAUAAACUAGGUUGUAAUAAAUAUUAGACAAAAUGGCAGAUUUAGACAUAAAAAUUAAGAUAGAAGAUAAUGUAGAUGCAAGAAAAGAUCCUACCUCAUUUUUACCUGAGGAACCAAUGUCCUAUGAAAUCAAGAAGAAGAAAAAGAAGAAGAAGAAAGUUCAGGAAGACCCGUUUAAGGAUAUUGAUAAUACAAUGGAUGUCAAACUUGAGCCAACAAUCAUUAUAGACCCAGAGUUAACAUAAAGGUUGAGAAUAUAGAGGUGGAAUUAGAUUUCAAUGAUUUUGCAGACAACAGCGGCUUGAUGGUAGAAGGUCCUCACAGUGAAGACAGUCAGGAACCAGCAGUAAAAAUCGAACCUCACAACCAUGAGGCCGUCCUUCUAACAUUCGAGAGUGUCAUCAACAAC